rnacentral:rRNA from 1 species
UACCUGCAGCUCGAGUGGUGGCCGCUAUUAUUGGGCCUAAAACGUCCGUAGCCGGUUUGUUAAAUGCCUAGGUAAAUCGUACAGCUUAACUGUACGAAUUCUGGGUAGACUGGUGAACUUGAGACCGGGCGAGGCUAGAGGUACUCCUGGGGUAGAGGUGAAAUUCUGUAAUCCUAGGGGGACCACCAGUGGCGAAGGCGUCUAGCUAGAACGGGUCUGACGGUGAGGGACGAAGCCCUGGGGCG